AGAUCAUUUUGGGGACAAUUCCUUAGUAACCCCUUAUACCUUUCCCAUGCUUCAUAUAAAUAUUCUCCUACUUGUUGCUCGAAAUUGGAAAUGGCUUUCUUGAGUUU